UAUAAAUAAUCAUAAAACCUCCAUAUUAUCUUUUCCUCUUGAAAACCUCCCCUUUCUCUUUCCUCAGUAUUUUCCAUCGAUUAGGGUUUUGAAGUCGCCGCUUUUUUUCGUCUGAUCACCAUGAGAGCCAAGUGGAAGAAGAAGCGUAUGAGGAGGUUGAAGAGGAAGCGCCGAAAGAUGAGACAGAGAUCUAAGUAGAACGUUGUUAUCAACUGCUGAGUUCGAUUUUAGAUUUCCGUCGUUUGUUUCGUCUUAUUUCAUCAAUUUUUCAGCUAUUUUUGUAGCUUAUUGACUGGUUUUAGGUACUCAGUUUAUGGUUAUGUAUGGUACGUUUUGUUAAACAUGAUGAUAUUUUCGGUAUUUUUACUGGAGUAUUUUACAUAAUUUUCGAGUUUUAUCCUUUUAUAUAUAUGCUUAAUUUCGUA